rnacentral:rRNA from 1 species
UACGGAGGGUACAAGCGUUAUCCGGAAUCAUUGGGUUUAAAGGGUCCGCAGGCGGACCUAUAAGUCAGUGGUGAAAGCCCGUUGCUCAACAACGGAACUGCCAUUGAUACUGUAGGUCUUGAAUUCGGUCGAAGUGGGCGGAAUGUGACAUGUAGCGGUGAAAUGCUUAGAUAUGUCACAGAACACCGAUAGCGAAGGCAGCUCACUAGGCCUGGAUUGACGCUCAUGGACGAAAGCGUGGGGAGCAAACAGG